AAAAUGACUCUCGGCAACGGAUAUCUCGGCUCUUGCAUCGAUGAAGAACGUAGCAAAAUGCGAUACUUGGUGUGAAUUGCAGAAUCCCGUGAACCAUCGAGUCUUUGAACGCAAGUUGCGCCUGAAGCCAUUAGGUUGAAGGCACGCCUGCCUGGGUGUCACAC
rnacentral:rRNA from 1 species